UUAAAGUGCAACCAUAAGUUUACGCGCCCAACUUUGACCGUCCGUCUUAUUUAUAAUUUUUUAUAAUUAGUAUUUUUAUUGUCAUGAGAUGAUAAAACAUAAAUAAUACUUUAUACGUGACUUAUGUUUUUAAUUUUUUAAAAAAGUUUUUAAAUAAGAUGGAGAGUCAAAGUUGUGCACGGAAAAUCAUGGUUACAUUUAAG
rfam:Oryza glumipatula chromosome 7, whole genome shotgun sequence.